rnacentral:lncRNA from 1 species
UCUAAGUAUGUUUUGUUGUAAUUGAAAUUAUAUUUUUUCAAGUGCUGAUAACAUACUUUGUACAGUAAACAGAUUUAAAAGAUCUCAUUUGUAACUUAGAUGCUAGCUGUGACGUUACUGGACUUCUGUUGAGUAAGCAAUUUUGCAACUGAAAAGAGAGGGAAUGCUACAACUACAAGAAGCCAAAAGAAUCAUUUCCUUUUCCCCUGAAAUUUUCUAGGAUUUCAAAUAGUGUUGUUCAUAAGGGUGAAAUCCUGAAAAUAUUUGAAAAAAAAAAAAAAAAAAAAGAGAAAAAAAGUAUGUGAAUUAAAGACUCAAACACUUCUAGGCAAUCCUUCAUGGGAGUAACCAGCCAGGUAGGAAAAAAAAAAAAGCGCGAUCAAGAAAGAGAUUCUGGCAGUGAACCCCUUGGUUUCUCUUUUUUGAAACUGUACAUGAUAGUAUCGUGGUUCUGUAGUAAAGUCACUCCUCCUGGCUGAAGAGAAACAUAUUUUCAUAUUACUGUCAUAUAUGGAGUGGUAAUUCGUGUCAAGAAAAUGGUUGAUAUUAAUAAAGAAAGGGGAAAUUUGGGAUUGUGGCCAUGGAGGUCGGAAAGCCCCGUGGUUGAGAUAACAUUAGACUUAACGAUGAGGCCAUCAGGAAUGUAAAAGAGUUUAGAGGGAACAAAGAAGGGUGAUUCAGGAGACUCCAUGCAGUUUCAGGUUGCUUGUUCUCCAGCCAUUAAGGCAUGGAAGUUUCUGGGUGUUUGCUGUUGUUGUUAUAUUCAAAGUUGUUUGACCAAUGAAAAGUUGUUUUGAAAAGGACUGCUGUGGGGAGAAGGGUAUAAGAGGGGAGCCUGUCCUCAAGAUAAAAAAAAAAAAAGGCAACACGAUGUGAUGAAGUUACGUCAUCAAUAAAGAAGCAGAAAGAAGGAUUGAAAAGGAACAGGCUAGCAGAACAGGGACCAGGACGGCAGACACAUUGAUCGCCUUAUGAAGAUAGGUUCGGCCAGACUCAGAAAACCGCUCAGAGAAGCUCAUAGAGAAAGUCACUGGAAACAGGCGCACUGGAGCUGGAAAGAAGCUCAAGCUCAGAGAAGCAGACCCGCGCACACAACUGCCCCUCGCUGGCACUGGUCUGUCUAUGAAACAACAGAAUUUUGAAAACAUAAAAGCUGGAUAUGCAUUCUACUGUGUCCAUUCUUGAAUAAUGAAUUGGGUUAAAACAGUCAAGCCAUGUAUGUUCAAGAAAUAAAGGUACUUUCUACCUAAAUCA